UUCGUGAUCCGUGCCUGGCCCUCCUAGGAAGCCUCGUGUGGAUGGUUAGCUUUUCGUUGGGGUCCAAGAACGUGGCCAAAAGGGAUAUCAGACGGACUCUACGAAUCGGACGGCUGUGGGAUGACAUGGGACGGUUUCGAUGGCCACGAGCCCUCAUCACACUGGACCCUACAUUAACUUCUGAGAGUAGAAGCAAGAAUCACCUCCAACCCACCGCCCACUAAAGUUAGUUAUUCCUCUCUCUCUCCGCAACUCUAAUUGAUGGUUUGUGCUAUUUAAUUUAAUUUAAUUUAAACGCGCUUCAUCUUCCGCUUCUUUGGUUUUAGUUCCUUCUUUGUUCCUUUCUUGGAUCUCUUGUCGCCUCAUCGAACCUUUUGAUAAACUGGUUUGGUUUGGUUUGAUCUCCCGUGCGAAUCGCUUCGUCCUCUGCCGUAAAUUCCAGUUCCAGGUGAGACCCGGUUUCUUGAUGUCGCUAAAAGUGGCGAAGGAUCGAUGCGGGGUUUUCUUCGUUUCGAUUCUUGUAUAUGAUUGUUUCUUUAGAUUUCUCUUCCUCGUGUGAUUGUUCGCUUUUUCGUUGGGGUCCAAGAAAGUGGCGAAGGCUCGAUGCGGGGUUUUCGUCGUUUCGAUUCUUGUAUGUUUCUGUUUCCAAGUGGCGAAGGAUCGAUGUGAGGUUUUCUCGGGUUCGAUUCUUGUAUGUGUCUGUUUCCAAGUGACGAAGGAUCGAUGUGAGGUUUUCUUCGUUUCGAUUCUUGUAUGUGUCUGUUCCAAGUGGCGAAGGAUCGAUGUGAGGUUUUCUUGGGUUCGAUUCUUGUAUGCGUCUGUUUCCAAGUGGCGACGGAUCGAUGUGCGGUUUUCUUCGUUUCGAUUCUUGUCUGUGUCUUUUUCGCGUGAUCUUGUGACGAGUAGUUCGCUUUUUGUUGGGGUCCAAGAAAGUGGCGAAGGAUCGAUGUGGGGUUUUCUUCGUCGAUCGAUUUGCUUCGUCUCCGAGUCAUGGAAUUAUCCGGACGCUGGAGAACAGAUUCCAGGAAGAAUUGUGUCAUAUAUCGGUGCCAAUGAGUUCUAAGAACAUCCACGAAGGUGCUAAGAAGGAAAUCACUUCAUGGCAGGAGACAUCAACUUAGGACAAAAUAGCCAAAAAUAAAAUAUGAUGAUGAGGAAACCAUGAAACUCACUUUUGCUGAUAUUUCUCAAGUGAAUUUUCCUGCCAUUUCUGAUUUUUUUUACCUUUUAACUAUUUAAUGAUGUGAAAGUUCUUAAUGUCAGAACGUGUUGUUGAUAGCUUGACUUGGCAACACUUAUUUCUCAAAAUAGCCAAUGUAUUAUUAUUUAUGAGAAAUUUAUGAUUGACCAGAAAGACUUGUCAAUUCUAAUGAACAUAGAUGUCUGCUAUUUGUGUA